rnacentral:lncRNA from 1 species
CCGCGGUCAGUUUGAAUAGCUUUGCAGCUUUAAUGCAGUAACACUCUUCAAGCGAGAAGCUGCUAUGGUGGAGAUUUCCUCAAAACAUUGCUUAACAGGCCUGUUGGCAGAGGGUGGGACCAAUGAGGAGGAGAUUUAUAGAUUAAAUUCUGUAUCCAACAGUGACUACUUCACAUUGUGCUGGAUAUGAUUUGUGUAUGUUUAUAUAUACGGACACACUGCUGCCCCGGGUACGAUUGGAGUUGUGUUUCUGGAUUGGCUGUUCAGCUGAUAGUCAAACUUCAGAGGAGAAGGGGGAUCCUGUCCACCACUGACAGCCAGAACGCAGGUUCGCAGUAGGUUCACUUUUGGAGUAAUGCCAACAACUAUAGUCGGCCUACAACAUGAUCCAAAUCAGAGUCAUUAG